rnacentral:lncRNA from 1 species
GGCAUGUUUUACAUCAGACAUUUUAAAUCUGUUUACCAAGAAAGACCAGGAUUUUAACUAUAUGUAGGUUUCUACUUACAGUUGCAAUCUAUCAGAAGCCUGUCUAUAUGAUUAGAGCCCAGAUACAUCUGAAGUUUAGAAAAGCAAGCCAUUUUUCUCCUUAGGCUGUUUUAGUGGCACUUUUGUGACAGGAAGGGCUCUCCUAAUCCUUUAGUACACAACUUAACCAGAUCUAUCAGUCAUGAUAAAUUAGACUGAUAUAUCUAAUCUAUCAGUCCAUCUUUCAAUCCAGUUACUCUGGUUCUGAACCUAUAAACACAAAACACUACAGAUUUAUUAAUAUAGCAUUUUCCAACACCCUAACCCUAUAUAGAACUUUAAAAGAGAAAAUUUCAUCUAAAUAUUUCACACCUGAGAAAGCCUUACUAACCACGGCAACAGGUUUGGACCACAAAACAAUACUUUCUUAGAUGAUAUAUAGAGUCAACAUGAAGCUUAGCAAGAAUGAAUUAUUCAGGGCUGGGCGCGGUGGCUCACUAUUAUUCUUUCGUGCUUGUCUUAAAGUUGUACAUAUGCUUAGAAAAAUGUUGGUAGGAUAGUAACUCUUCACUGGUGGGAUCAGGGAUGACUUUUGUUUUCAUUUUGCUUGUCUUUUUCUUUAAUGAGUAUGUAUUACUUGUGUAAUAGAUGAAGUCAAGCAGGAAGAAGGGUAGACAUGGUAUUUGAGAUAGAGCAUUGGAGGUGUUUGUUUGAGAUGGAGUCUCACUGUCACCCAAGGUGAAGUGCAGUGGCACAAUCUCGGCUCACUGCAACCUCUGCCUCCCGGGUUCAAGCAAUUCUCCUGCCUCAGCCUUCCCAGCAGCUGGGAUUACAGGCAUCUGCCACCACACCCAGAUAAUUUUUGUAUUUUUAGUAG